GACGAACGCUGGCGGCGUGCUUAACACAUGCAAGUCGAACGAUGAAGAAGAGAAACGCGAACUUCGGUUCAAAUUUCACUUCGGAUUAGUGGCAGACGGGUGAGUAACGCGUGAGCAACCUACCUCUUACAAAGGGAUAGCCUCGGGAAACCGUGAUUAAUACCAUAUGACACAUUCAUAAGGCAUCUUAAGAAUGUUAAAGCUACGGCGGUAAGAGAUGGGCUCGCGUCCCAUUAGCUAGUUGGUGAGGUAACGGCCCACCAAGGCGACGAUGGGUAACCGGCCUGAGAGGGUGAACGGUCACAUUGGAACUGAGACACGGUCCACACUCCUACGGGAGGCAGCAGUGGGGAAUAUUGCACAAUGGAGGGAACUCUGAUGCAGCGACGCCGCGUGAGCGAUGAAGGAAUUCGUUUCGUAAAGCUCUGUUCUAUGGGAAGAAAAGGACUGUACCAUAGGAGAAAGCCCCGGCUAACUACGUG
rnacentral:rRNA from 1 species